CAGUAGCCGCGGGAAUACGAAGGGGGCUAGCGUUGUUCGGAAUUACUGGGCGUAAAGCGCACGCAGGCGGCUCGAUAAAUUAGAAGUGAAAGCCUUGGGCUUAACCUGAGAAUUGCUUUUAAGACUGUCGAGCUAGAAUCCAGAAGAGGGUAGUGGAAUUCCGAGUGUAGAGGUGAAAUCCGUAGAUAUUCGGAAGAACACCAGUGGCGAAGGCGACUACCUGGUCUGGCAUUGACGCUCAUGUGCGAAAGCGUGGGGAGCAAACAGGAUUAGAUACCCCUGUAGUCCCUGUCUCUUAUAC
rnacentral:rRNA from 1 species